AUUUAUUUUUUUCACCCAUGUCUUUUGCGCACUUGUUGUUUCCUGGGCGGGUUCGCUCGCCACCAGGACCACACCAUAAACCUUUUUAUCUGUAGUUGCAAUCAGCGUCAGUAACAAGUAAAUAAUCAUUUACAACUUUCAACAACGGAUCUCUUGGUUCUGGCAUCGAUGAAGAACGCAGCGAAAUGCGAUACGUAGUGUGAAUUGCAGAAUUCAGUGAAUCAUCGAAUCUUUGAACGCACAUUGCGCCCUUUGGUAUUCCAAAGGGCAUGCCUGUUCGAGCGUCAUUUGUACCCUCAAGCUUUGCUUGGUGUUGGGCGUUUUUGUCUUUGGCUACAGCCCAAAGACUCGCCUUAAAACGAUUGGCAGCCGGCCUACUGGUUUCGCAGCGCAGCACAUUUUUGCGCUUGCAACCAGCAAAAGAGGUUGGCAAUCCAUCAAGUCUUACUUUCUCACUUUUGACCUCGGAUCAGGUAGGGAUACCCGCUGAACUUAAGCAUAUCAAUAAGCGGAGGA
rnacentral:rRNA from 1 species